GCCACGGUGGUCUAGUGGUUAGAACGCUGGCCAUGUAAACCUGGGGUCUCGGGUUCGAUUCCCGGCGGUGCCC
rnacentral:tRNA from 1 species